rnacentral:rRNA from 1 species
CGGGUGAAUAACGCGUAGAUAAUGUGCCCUUUCGCUGGGGAUAGCCACUGGAAACGGUGGGUAAUACCGAAUACUCUUUUCAGGUGGCAUCAUUUGAAAAGGAAAACUCCGGUGCGAAUUGAGCAGUUUGCGUCCUAUUAGCUAGUUGGUGGGGUAAUGGCCUACCAAGGCGACGAUGGGUAGCCGGUCUGAGAGGAUGAUCGGCCACACUGGCACUGAGAUACGGGCCAG